CUCGACACGAAAUGACGUAUUUUUGAGGGGAAAAAAGUGUCGCUCGUCACUUUCCUUUCAGAAUUUUGUUAUGUCGCAGACACCGUCAUAUUUUGUCGCGCAAUGUGAUUGGGCAGUGUGUCGUCAUGGAGAUUGUAGUUUUCACUGAACUUCCUUCUGGUCUGUAAUUUACGGAAGAGGGUUAGGGCCACAUCAUAUAUCCAUGGGCCAAAUGUGAAAAAUGUAUUUGACUUCUGAGUUUAAAGUCAGAACUCAGACUUCUGACUUUAAACUCUGAACUCAAACACAUUUUUCACGUGGCCCUAAUCCUCUUCUGUAGUAACUUUAGAUAAUGUGUAACUUCCUUGCUCAAUAAAUCCUGGUCGGGAUGAUAUAUUGUAACGAAACAAGCCGGCUGGAUGAUAGCGUCUGGUUACUAUGGAGACGACUGAAACCUUUCGUCGAAGCAUAAACUGAAAACGUCGCGCGACUCUUUCAUUUCUGUUGAGCGACACUCAUCACAAGUGUCGAGCGACCUAAAACGAUGACUUGCUGUCGUCUCCGCUUAGCGUCGCAUAUGUGAAUAUGAGCGAUGACAGUACCAGUUUUACUUUUUUUCUCUUUAGACUGAUAUAUUCUCUAAAUUUAAAGCUUGAGGUUCAACCACUGAGCCUUUGUUGAGCUAAAACGUCACCGCUGUCAACGCAAACCAAACUCCGUUCACGGAAUGAUCGAGUAAACCUUUGCCUUCCCGUCAGCGUGAGGCGAUUCAUAUCCAAUUGAUCGCAGUAGCGCCCUUCUCUGUGAAGCACUGAAGUACAAGAACCCUCUCAACUGGCAUCUUUGUCCAGGUCCAACUGAGCCACGCCUUUGGAGCCACACUCUUGAAAUGGGUUUCAUCUCUAGUUUGUGGAGUGCUGAUUGGAGGUGAAGCUCAGGUUAAUGAUCACCUUUCAGUGAGAAUGCCUGUGGUCUGCGGAGAGGAAGACAGAUUAGGAGAUAUGGGACAGAGAUAAAAGAUCCGUGAGAUCACAUGAGAAUGGCGCAUCUGGUCACAGAGAGUCGGAGAGGCAGAGCAAAACUGAGGAGUUAUGUCAGAAGAAGCUGCAUCAGGUUGAGAUGAUAAAAGACAAUCAGACAUACUGUGUAGUGGAGUGAGGAAAUGACUCUGCAGAGUUUCGACUAAGAUGGGAGAUGGGAGGAGAGGGAGUCCCCCAGGUAUGCAGGCCACCGACUGCUGCCAGCAGCCCAGACUGAGUCGUCUCUGUUGGCACCGACCCACACAGAAACCAUGUGGCCUGGGAUUCCAAAGGCACACAGAGAGAAACAGCUUUACUAAGCAUAACGUCUAGGAAUGACGAGGAUCCAAUGCACUCCGAAACUUGGCCUCUGCACAAAAGAUAGAAAAAAAGAUCUUUUGUGAUGGAUUUUAAUCACUAAUGUGAAUAAUGUAGCCUAUCUGAAUUCAAAGAAGUGGAGUGGAGAUGGAAACUUUUGCUGUAGUUCAGCAAUUUCUUGCAAACAAGUAAGAAUGAAUUGUAGCUUAAGACUGUUCAUACUUUUAAACUGAGAUUUUUCUUAUUGAUACAUUUUAUUGUUCUAUAUCAUGCUUUAAUAAUGAAGCUGUAGAUAAAUUUCACUGUGGACAAUAAAGUUUAGUGUUGUAUUGUGUUA